UGGUAUUCUAAAUCUGACCCGUCGCCGGGCCAUAGCCAUUCUAGAUGGAAAACUCGAGUCCAGGAGAUCCAAAACGGUGCGCGUAGGGAUACAUUGGGUCUGCAAGCUUCUCGAUCUUGUGGAUCCUCGAAUUGGAAAAUGGAGAAAGAAAACCCUAAUAAUCGUCUUAAACCUCGGUUUCAUUGUCCAGCUCCCACUUGCAGAGCUCGUUUUCGCGUUAUUCACCUCCUUCUAUCCCUUUCAAUCGAACUAGGAGUGCAAUAGAAAUGGUGUGGUUUCAGUGUGAAGAUUGCGGAGAGAACUUGAAGAAGCCUAAAUUACCUAAUCACUUCAGAAUUUGCUCAGCCAACAAGCUAUCAUGCAUUGAUUGCGGAGAGAUUUUCGGGCAGGAAAGCGUUCAGGGCCACACUCAGUGUGUUACUGAGGCGGAAAAAUAUGGUCCCAAGGGUCAAGGGAAAGCUUCAAAUGGUGCGACUCCUAAACCCAGUAAGAACACAAAGCAACAGCCUGAUAUUGAUAUAAAUGUUGGGUUAUCUGAACGUCCUCCUUGGUUUUGCAGGUGGGUUCAAGUUGUUGUAUGCUUUCUCAUUUCCGUUGUGUAUGCUUGUUCCUUUAUUCAUCAAAUCAUACUCUCUCCAAUGGGAGACAAAGUUUGUGCAUCUCUUACCUUGUUUAUUACAUAUAUGAUAUUAAGUAAAGAAACUAGAAUUUUCAUGCUUGUUUUUCAUGGGCAAAAAUGUUUUGCAAAACGUUAUGGAGUGGGAAUGCAUUCAACAAAUUACAAAUAUGUAUUGCUGUAUAGGCUUUUGUGAGUAGAUUGAGGACUGCUCUAUUGGAAAUGUCUCUCCAUGGUAAAAGAAAUGGGUUGAAUUGAGAAUGGAAGGCAAUCCUGGCUUCUUCCAUGAGGUUUGCAUUGUAUUAUUAAUUCAAUGUUUGUUGUGGAGCUAAUCUAAUGGUAAGAAGUUGAGAAUGAAUAAUGUAAAAAUUUAUCUUAGAAUGACACCCAAGUGACUGAUACAUGUGGAAGUGAGGAGAUAAAUUUUGUGAAGUCACUUGUAGAUGCUUUUAUUUGUCAUAUUUUUUCUUAUGAUUCCUUCCAAGUCAUCAUCCUUUGUAAAAAUGUAUGUAUUUGCAGUCUCUGCAAUACCAAGGCUACUAGUAAGCAGACCUUGCUUCUCCAUGCUGAUGGAAAGAAGCACCGGUCAAAGGCCCGAGCUUUUCAUGCUGCUAAGCGGCAACAAACUAAACAGAUAGAAGAAUCUGCUCAAGAUAAAACUGCCAUUAAUGGAAAUGCUAGAAAUGGUGAAGUGCCUGAUAAUAAUCAUGUUGAGGAACAAAAAGGAAAGGAGAUGCGAAAACGUGACAGACCAAGUGCCAUCUCAGAAACAGAGACUGGAAAGUUGCAAUCGAAAAAGAGAAAACUUGAUGAAUUUGGGAGUGAUGGUACUGUGAUAAUGACUGAUGGUGAUGCUACAGACUAUAUAGGCGAUGGUGUGACCCAAGUUGAUAAGGUGGUGGAAUCUGGCUGUAAGAAAGAUGCCAAAAAGAAGAUGAAGUUGAAGAGAUUGAUCAAAUCAGCCUUGAGAACUGUAUGUAUCUUUGAUGAAUGUCAUGUCUUACUUUUCCUUUCUUUUCUUUUUUGUUUUUGGAGCAUCUUUUACAUUAUAAUUUGGUAUACAGUAGUUGAGGCAUCUUGAUCAAAUACAUAUAUUUUGGAUAUUUUGAUAAACUCAAUGACAUGAACACAGAUAUAACCUUUCUAUUAUAUUGAAUUGGCUUACAUUAACCCAUUUUCCAGUAUCUUCCUUAUCCUGGUUUUUAUAUUUUGUAUGUUAUUGCAUGCAAACACAGAAUCCAGAUGGGGUUUUGAAGAUGAAGAAAUUGAAAAAACUUGUUCUGAAUUCUCUCCGGGAAUCUGGCAUAACAGAUGAUAAGGCUCAACUCAGUGGCGUGCUUGAGCAAAAGGUCAGGCCUUUAAAGAGUUAUAUUAUUUCUUUCUACCUUCAACUUGUUCAAGGUUAAUGACCAAAAAGGCACUAACUUUAUCUAAAUUUUUUUAUCAUACCAUAAUUGUAGCCAAGAUCCAAACUUUUAACUUUUAGGUUAUAACAUGGUUAUUAAAAUAAUAUUUGUUUAAUGAAAUAUUCCUCUGUUAGGCUCAUAGUAUGAGAGUUUAAUAUCAACUCCAUCAGAAUUCAUAUCACAAAAACAGAGUCUCAUUAAAGAAAGAGACUUUCUCGUUGGAUAAAUAUGAUAUAUUAUUUUAAAGUUAAAUUAUUGUCUGAAAUGAAAUUUUUGAUAUAUAAACUCCAUUUGAUGAAAACAAAAAGGAUUAUAUCAGUUGAUAAAUAGUAUAGUUUUGAUAUUUAUGUCAUUGCCUUGGAUGGAAAUUUCAACCUUGGCUAAAAUUGUAUCAUUUGAUAAAUUUUUUUUUUUUUCAUUGGUUUGAAUGGAAAUUUCAACCUUGGCUACAAUUGUAUCAUUUGACAAAAAAAUGUAGU
rnacentral:misc_RNA from 1 species